rnacentral:rRNA from 1 species
UAGUUAAAACUUUCAACAACGGAUCUCUUGGUUCUGGCAUCGAUGAAGAACGCAGCGAAAUGCGAUAAGUAAUGUGAAUUGCAGAAUUCAGUGAAUCAUCGAAUCUUUGAACGCACAUUGCGCCCCCUGGUAUUCCGGGGGGCAUGCCUGUUCGAGCGUCAUUA